CACACACUGUUUCUCUUUUCUUUUUUUUCUCCUUUACACCUGUGGCUCCCGUCGCUGCUUUCUCCAACCAUCAUCAUUGCUUCCUCUGACCAACACCACUGCUUUCUCCAACGAUCGCCGCCAUUGUUGGUAUGAGUGCGAUGCAAGUAUCCAGGUAUGAGCGCGAUGCACAAUAGAUGAUCUCGAGUGAUGCUUGGAGUAUUUUGAGGGUACCAAACCCAUCUCUAUUUCUCUUUAUAGGACAACCCCAGCAGAGUUGAAGGAAUUGAAGAAAUAGUUGGAAGA